rnacentral:rRNA from 1 species
UACAGAGGUCUCAAGCGUUGUUCGGAUUCAUUGGGCGUAAAGGGUGCGUAGGCGGCGCGGUAAGUCGGGUGUGAAAGUCGGGGGCUCAACCCUCGGAUGCCGGUGGAUACUGUCGGGCUCGAGUACGGAAGAGGCGAGUGGAAUUCCUGGUGUAGCGGUGAAAUGCGCAGAUAUCAGGAGGAACACCGGUGGCGAAGGCGGUUCUCUGGGCAUGUCCUGACGCUGAGGAGCGAAAGUGUGGGGAGCGAACAGG